rnacentral:rRNA from 1 species
ACUCAAAGGAAUAGACGGGGGCCCGCACAAGCGGUGGAGCAUGUUGUUUAAUACGUCAUUAACCGUAGAACCUUACCAGGGCUUGACAUCCGUCGACAUCCCAUGAAAGUGGGCUUUCCCCGCAAGGGGACGGCGAGACAGGUGUUGCAUGGCUGUCGUCAGCUCGUGUCGUGAGAUGUUGGGUUAAGUCCCGCAACGAGCGCAACCCUCACUCCAUGUUGCCAGCGGAUAAUGCCGGGAACUCUUGGAGAACUGCCCGGGUAACCGGGAGGAAGGUGGGGACGACGUCAAGUCAGCAUGGCCCUUACGUCCUGGGCUACAAACAUGCUACAAUGGACGGUAGACAAAGGGAUCCGAGACCGCGAGGUGGAGGCAAUCUCAAAAAUCCGUUCUCAGUUCAGAUCGCAGUCUGCAACUCGACUGCGUGAAGUUGGAAUCGCUAGUAACCGCAGAUCAGCUAAGCUGCGGUGAAUACGUUCCCGGGCCUUGUACACACCGCCCGU